rnacentral:rRNA from 1 species
UACGUAGGGUGCAAGCGUUGUCCGGAAUUAUUGGGCGUAAAGAGCUCGUAGGCGGUCUGUCGCGUCGGAUGUGAAAAUCCAGGGCUCAACCCUGGACCUGCAUUCGAUACGGGCAGACUAGAGUUCGGCAGGGGAGACUGGAAUUCCUGGUGUAGCGGUGAAAUGCGCAGAUAUCAGGAAGAACACCGGUGGCGAAGGCGGGUCUCUGGGCCGAUACUGACGCUGAGGAGCGAAAGCGUGGGGAGCGAACAGG